GGGAUCUUGCACAAUGGGGGCAACCCUGAUGCAGCAACGCCGCGUGGAGGAUGACGUCCUUCGGGAUGUAAACUCCUUUUCAGGGGGAGCAGACAGGAGCGUACCCCUGGAAUCAGUCACGGCUAACUACGUGCCAGCAGCCGCGGUAACACGUAGGUGGCGAGCGUUAUCCGGAAUUACUGGGCGUAAAGGGUCCGUAGGUGGCCUGGCAGGUCUGCUGUGAAAGCGCCCGGCUCAACCGGGCGAGGCCAGUGGAAACCGCCGGGCUCGAGUCGCGCAGAGGGUUCUGGAAUUCCCGGUGUAGUGGUGGAAUGCGUAGAGAUCGGGAGGAACACCAGAGGCGAAGGCGGGGACCUGGGCGCGGACUGACACUGAGGGACGAAAGCGUGGGGAGCGAA
rnacentral:rRNA from 1 species